GACGAACGCUGGCGGCGUGCUUAACGCAUGCAAGUCGAGCGAUGAAGCUCCUUCGGGAGUGGAUUAGCGGCGGACGGGUGAGUAACACGUGGGUAACCUGCCUCAUAGAGGGGAAUAGCCUUCCGAAAGGAAGAUUAAUACCGCAUAAGAUUGUAGUACCGCAUGGUACAGCAAUUAAAGGAGUGAUCCGCUAUGAGAUGGACCCGCGUCGCAUUAGCUAGUUGGUGAGGUAACGGCUCACCAAGGCGACGAUGCGUAGCCGACCUGAGAGGGUGAUCGGCCACAUUGGGACUGAGACACGGCCCAGACUCCUACGGGAGGCAGCAGUGGGGAAUAUUGCACAAUGGGGGAAACCCUGAUGCAGCAACGCCGCGUGAGUGAUGACGGUCUUCGGAUUGUAAAGCUCUGUCUUCAGGGACGAUAAUGACGGUACCUGAGGAGGAAGCCACGGCUAACUAUGUGCCAGCCGCCGCUGUAAUAC
rnacentral:rRNA from 1 species